rnacentral:lncRNA from 1 species
CGCCACACUGUCUUCCACAAUGGUUGAACUAAUUUAAUUUACACUCCCACCAACAGUGUAAAAGCAUUCCUAUUUCUCCACAUCCUCUCCAGCAUCUGUUGUUUCCUGACUUUUUAAUGAUCGCCAUUCUAACUGGCAUGAGAUGGUAUCUCAUUGUGGUUUUGGUUUGCAUUUCUCUAAUGCCCAGUGAUGAUGAACUUUCUUUCAUAUGUUUGUUGGCCGAAUAAAUAUCUUCUUUUGAGAAGUGUCUCUUUAUAUCCUUCGCCUACUUUUUGAUGGUUUUUUUUUUUUUUUUUUUUUUUCUUUUUUUUUUUUUUUUUUUUUUUUUUGUCAGCAGGGAUGAUGCUCAAUAGCUGUGAUGAGGUCCAAGCUGAGAGAAAAGAGUCAUGAUCAUGAAUCCCAACUGGAUUCAUCAUUUUCCACAUACUUUACUUCAUUUAGCUUUCACCAAUUCUCAUGUUAGUUCCAUUUUACAGAUAAGAAAACUAAGACCUAAGCUCACCCAGCUAGUAGUUACUUGUGGCAGAGACAGACUAGAUGCCAAUCAAAUUCAGUUCCUCUUUUCUGUAGAUACAGUUAGAUUACUUUCCCAGGUUCUCUUGCAGUUAGGUUUGGUCAUCUGACUAAGUUCUAGCCAAAGUAAUAUAGGCCAGUCCCAUGAAAAACAUCUAGGGCAAUUUAGCAUGUUCUUUCUUUCUCCAUCCACUGGCUGAAUGGAAAAAAUUUCAAGGGCUUAGAAGGGGACAGAGCCACAAGAAGGAAGGAACUUGGGUCCCUGGGUGACUAUGUGAAGUAGAGGUCCCUCCCAACUUCCUUUGAACUGUGAAAUACGCAAAAUAAAUAAAUAAAUAAAUUUUUAUUAUGUGAAACUGCUGAAAUGUGGGUGAUGUAUGUUCAAGUAGUAAUGCCUACCCUGACCAAUACAGUGGC